GAUGAACGCUGGCGGCGCGCCUAACACAUGCAAGUCGAACGAUUAAAGCACCUUCGGGUGUGUAUAAAGUGGCGAACGGCUGAGUAACACGUGGGCAACCUGCCCCUUUCAUUGGGAUAGCCACGGGAAACCGUGGAUAAUACCGAAUACUUCGAGACUUCCGCAUGGAAGACUCGAGAAAGCUCCGGCGGAGAGGGAUGGGCCCGCGGCCUGUUAGCUUGUUGGUGGGGUAACGGCCUACCAAGGCAAUGAUGGGUAGCUGGGUUGAGAGACCGACCAGCCAGAUUGGGACUGAGACACGGCCCAGACUCCUACGGGAGGCAGCAGUGGGGAAUCUUGCACAAUGGGCGAAAGCCUGAUGCAGCGACGCCGCGUGCGGGAUGAAGGCCUUCGGGUUUGUAAACCAGCUUUUCAGCAGGG
rnacentral:rRNA from 2 species